GUUAGGGUGGCAGAGCCAGGCAAUUGCAAAAGACCUAAACCCUUUAUCUCAGAAGUUCAAAUCUUCUCCCUAACU
rnacentral:tRNA from 1 species